rnacentral:tRNA from 1 species
UCCCUGCUGGCCCAGACGGUAAAGCGUCUGCCCGGAAUGCAGGAGACCUGGGUUCGAUCCUUGGGUUGGGAA